UACGUAGGGGGCAAGCGUUGUCCGGAAUUAUUGGGCGUAAAGAGCGUGUAGGCGGUCCGAUAAGUCGGCUGUGAAAGUCCAGGGCUCAACCCUGGGAUGCCGGUCGAUACUGUCGGACUAGAGUUCGGAAGAGGCGAGUGGAAUUCCCGGUGUAGCGGUGAAAUGCGCAGAUAUCGGGAGGAACACCUAUGGCGAAGGCAGCUCGCUGGGACGUUACUGACGCUGAGACGCGAAAGCGUGGGGAGCGAACGGG
rnacentral:rRNA from 1 species